CCUAUCAAAAUCCGAAAUCCAAGUUAAAUAGCACAAAGUGCGAAUAGAGUGCUUGUUAAAGGAGCUUAAAUAUGCGAAGCUGCUGCCGAACUAUGCACUAUGUGCCACAUGUCCUUUUCCUUUGUGCUCUAAUGCCAUUGAGCUUCACCCAAAGGACAAACCAUAAAUUGCCCAGCUUGAGCUCGCUUGACUCGAGGUCAUGGCAUUUAAAGCUAGUCAAUUUACAAUCCAAACAAUCAUUUGCCAAAAUGCCCGCAGCAAAACGCCUGGCAAUGCGGCAACUUAAUGUAUUUUAAAUUAUUCCACAACUUCUGUAAGUGAUACCUGCCACCACCGCCAGCCGAAUGAAAUAUAAACUCAUGAAUGCUAAUAAAUUACGAAAUUAUUGCGGCUCCAAAUCGAAAUAGCGGCAUAAAUGUCAGUGGAGCUAUUUUUAAUGUCUGUUUUCAAACUUCUCGAAACUCAGGAAACGGAACCACCGCCAGAAAAUUCCAGACUAAAUUGCGGCUAGUUGGUAAUCGAAAAUCAUUUGAACCGAGAUUGGGCUAAGAUAUUUUUGGGAAUACAUCCAGUUGGGGUGGGAGACUUGUCUGACCAUCGCUUGGCCCAAAUUUAUAUGCGCAAAAGUUGCGAUUCUGCUGCUCGAGAGUAAAUCAAAAAUGCGAAACUCUUUGGUUGGCCAGCAAAAAGUUUUCUUAGCCGCUGUUGUUGUCGCCGUAUCCUCAGCAGUUGAUUUUGGCAACGUUCUUGUUUUGGUCUUGUGCUGAGCUUAUCCUUUCGACCCGAUCUUCUGUGCCACUUGCACUGGCAAAAAUAAUUGGCUAACAUGUUUCGAUCAAAAAAGAAUAAAAGAAGUACUCACAGGCAGUUAAUUGAGAUUUUCUGAAAGCGCUCAAAAGUAGGCAACCAUAUGCAAAGUCCUUCGAAUUCAUUUCAAGGAAUCGCCGCCUGUUUCUUUCAAUGCACUUUUCUUUUUUCUCCGGUUGUCCUGUUUCGAACUGUCGAAAUGAAUAAUUUCAGUGAAUUUACUACACAAUUUUAUUCAUAUAAAUCACAAAUUAAAUAAGUUUUUACGAGGUUGUUCAGCGGUUGCAGCCCACUACAAAACUUGUUUGUGUUCUCAUUCUCAACGUCCAUUCGUUUAUUUGUUUGUUUGUUUGUUCGCUUGCUUGCCAGCUUGUUUGUUGGGUCUGGUAUGGUCUGGUCCGGGUUAUUCGACCCUUUCCACAUGGCCAGCAAAGACGAAUGAUGAUGGAGGAGCUUGGGGUUGGGAUUGGAGCCGGAGCUGGAGCUGGUGCUGGUGGUGGUCACGGAGCUGGGUUCUUCCCCCAACCGCCUUUAUGCCAUUUGCCCUUUUUUAUAGCUGUGUAAUUUUUUUGUUGGCCUCUUUAUUUAUGCUUAUUAUCGUGAUUGCUAUUCCUGGGUUGGAAAAACACCGCAGCCGAAGCCAACCGCACUCUAUAAGGAAGAAAGUUAAGCCUCGAAUAACCUAGCCGUAUAAUUCAAUUUGGAGCAGAACUUUUGUGGGAACCUCUCGUGUUUUCCAUAUGAUAUAUCAUAUGAUAUGAUAUUUGAUUGUUAUAAGGAGUUAUCAGCACAUUCAAGUGAACCAACAACGUAUAAUGAUGGUAUUGUAGCCAACAAAGGAUCCUUGGCUGAGCAACACCUUAAUUUACAUUUCACAUUUACUUUGACGAACCGAUGAUGUUGGGGAUUAUCCCCGUUAAGCUGUUCAAAGAGAUGCGCGAAUAUUAAGCGAGUCCGCCGUGAAAGUGAAAAUAUAAUCACCAAAUCAAUGAAUAAAUGGGGUCAGUGGGAAGUAGUUGUACAAUUAUGAUUGGGCUGUUGGCCAACAGUACACUUUCCAAGGCGAAAUCCAGUUUGGCAGCUCAUUUGGGCCUGGAUUUGCCAUGUAUCCGACGCUUCGCUCAAUCAUUUAUCACUUCUACUCGUAGGGUAACAGACACACCCAUCGUGUUGGGCCUUUUCUAGCUCACAUUUUUGGGUUUUCUUUUCUUUUUUCGUUGAGCACGUCUCGUCAGCGGGAAAUGCGGGUGAAAACUGUGGAAUGGUCCCUAAUUUGCAUACGAAGGCUUGAGGAGGCUUCAUGCAGAUGCAUUAAGAAUGUAACAUUAGUCGGGCGGAGCAAGGAGGCCAAGGAGCAGGAAGAUAAACAAUGCGGAACGCCUUAAACGUUAGCCAGGAUGACACGAGAUGAGCUGAGAAAUUUGGCCUCGCACACUGGCAAUAAAAUAUUCACCUCAGCACGGCAAUGGAAAGGAUGUGAGAAGGGAUUGAUAAAUUGAACUUAUCUAGCCAGAGCUUGGCUUGGGCCGCACUUGGCUAGAACGCUCACUUAUUUUAUUGUAGUGUAGCCGAUUUUUGGGCCGAUUUCAUUCCGUUUCAUUCCGCUCUUAUUCAUGGCAUUCACGUGCGCCCGACACGAGAUUCACGAGACGUGGAAGCAAUUUACGAUGUGGCCACCGCAACAAUGAGCAAUUAAUCAUGCCACGGCCACAAAAUGGAGCAUGGAGUUGCUCCUCCCGCUCCUCCUGUUUCACUUUUCCCGGCAUCCGCCUGCGAGUCACCCAGAGCACCACCCACUCAAGGACGCGGCCGGCGAAGGCCGCCCAGCAGACACAGAAGGCAGCGCCAAAGAGAGGCGUAAAAAAGGAGGAAAAUCCGGAAAAAAAGUGUAUCCGACCUUGAGCUGCAUUCACCUACCGCCAUUUGGCCACCCAUCACCGCCAUCACCGACAGGCGCCCAACUAUUUCGCACAUCAAAUCAUAAUUUAUGGACGGCAAUCAAAAUGAGCCUGACUUCCCAUUCCAUUUCUUUCCAAUUUUUUUUUUUUUACAUUUCGGUUAUAUUUGAUGAUGGGUUGGGCUGGUGCGAAAAAGUUGCGCAUUCGCCCACAUAAUUAUCGGUUUGAUUUAUGGCAGCAUUUUCGCAGCCAAUUACUUCGCACCAGAUGAAACGCGGGGGAAAAAAACGGAACCGGAAGUUAAAAUGAACCACGGAGCGACCGCAUAUCGAAUCCUUGGCAGCUCACCCAUCUACAAUAUAUCCUUGGCCAUAUUGCCACCAAAAGGAGCCCCGCUGAUUGUGAUCUCCUGUUGGCCAGCCUUGAAGUCAGUCAAAACUCGCCGUGAAUGCCCAUGAUUUUGUGAGUUGCAUGCAGUGCUUGAAGGACAUUCAGUCAGAAAUAAGUAGAGAAAAUAAAAGAGUUUUCGGGCAAACAAACUGCCAUGCCAUCGAAUUUUGUUCAUACACUUACAUGUCUGCAUAGUUUACAGUGUAGAGAAAUGAAAUGGGUCCUCUAGGCCUGGUGGGCAAUCCAGCAGGACAUUAACAAAGUUGGCGCCCAGCGCACAAAAAGACAAACAGGCAAAUGGACAAAUAGACAAACAGAAUGACAGAUAGGCAGUCGGAUAAACAGAUGGACCAUCAAAUGGUUGACACACACGUAUAUAUCUCCGCCGAGCAAGGACAAUGGGGACAGGACAAUGGGAACCAGGUCAACCAGGGGCACAGAGGUGAAGGCAAAAGAGUCGACAGCCAGCUGCCAACCCGAAAAUUUUCACCGAACCUGAAGGCUUAAGUGGGAAAUUCUGUUUAAACUCGAUUGCCAUGGAAAUGUAUGCUUUUUUGGGCAUACGUGCUCGUUGAAUUUGAAUACUCACCGAGUGUGUAUGAAAAGAAAUAUAAUGCCACACAUAUGAUGACGUGUUAA